GACGAACGCUGGCGGCGUGCCUAAUACAUGCAAGUCGAGCGGAUUGAUGGGAGCUUGCUCCCUGAUAUCAGCGGCGGACGGGUGAGUAACACGUGGGUAACCUGCCUGUAAGACUGGGAUAACUCCGGGAAACCGGGGCUAAUACCGGAUAACUCAUUUCCUCGCAUGAGGAAAUGUUGAAAGAUGGCUUCGGCUAUCACUUACAGAUGGACCCGCGGCGCAUUAGCUAGUUGGUGAGGUAACGGCUCACCAAGGCAACGAUGCGUAGCCGACCUGAGAGGGUGAUCGGCCACACUGGGACUGAGACACGGCCCAGACUCCUACGGGAGGCAGCAGUAGGGAAUCUUCCGCAAUGGACGAAAGUCUGACGGAGCAACGCCGCGUGAGUGAUGAAGGUUUUCGGAUCGUAAAGCUCUGUUGUUAGGGAAGAACAAGUGCCGUUCGAAUAGGGCGGCACCUUGACGGUACCUAACCAGAAAGCCACGGCUAACUACGUGCCAGCAGCCGCA
rnacentral:rRNA from 1 species